rnacentral:rRNA from 1 species
UUGAACGCUGGCGGCAGGCCUAACACAUGCAAGUCGAACGGUAACAGGAAGCAGCUUGCUGCUUCGCUGACGAGUGGCGGACGGGUGAGUAAUGUCUGGGAAACUGCCUGAUGGAGGGGGAUAACUACUGGAAACGGUAGCUAAUACCGCAUAACGUCGCAAGACCAAAGAGGGGGACCUUAGGGCCUCUUGCCAUCGGAUGUGCCCAGAUGGGAUUAGCUAGUAGGUGGGGUAACGGCUCACCUAGGCGACGAUCCCUAGCUGGUCUGAGAGGAUGACCAGCCACACUGGAACUGAGACACGGUCCAGACUCCUACGGGAGGCAGCAGUGGGGAAUAUUGCACAAAGGGCGCAAGCCUGAUGCAGCCAUGCCGCGUGUAUGAAGAAGGCCUUCGGGUUGUAAAGUACUUUCAGCGGGGAGGAAGGGAGUAAAGUUAAUACCUUUGCUCAUUGACGUUACCCGCAGAAGAAGCACCGGCUAACUCCGUG